rnacentral:rRNA from 1 species
AUUGAACGCUGGCGGCACGCCUAACACAUGCAAGUCGAGCGGCAGCGCGAUAUGUAGCAAUACAUAUUGGCGGCGAGCGGCGGACGGGUGAGGAACACGUAGGAACCUACCCUCGAGUGGGGGAUAACCAAGGGAAACUCUGGCUAAUACCGCAUGAUUUCGAGAGAGCAAAGCUGCCGCAAGGUGGCGCUCGAGGAGGGGCCUGCGUCCGAUUAGCUAGUUGGUGAGGUAAGAGCUCACCAAGGCGAUGAUCGGUAACUGGUCUGAGAGGACGACCAGUCACACUGGGACUGAGACACGGCCCAGACUCCUACGGGAGGCAGCAGUGGGGAAUAUUGGACAAUGGGGGCAACCCUGACUCAGCGAUGCCGCGUGAGUGAAGAAGGCCUUCGGGUCGUAAAGCUCUUUAGGUUGGGAAGAAGAGUGAUGGAGGAAUAAUCCAGUACUUUGACGGUACCGACAGAAUAAGCACCGGCAAACUCUGUGCCAGCCGCCGCGGUAAUAC